ACAUGUCUAAGUAUAGAGACAUGGUGAAGUGCCUCCUAACAGAGCAGAAGUGACCCCAUCGAAGACUACUUCUUGGGGAGGAUUUCACACAGUUCAUCAUCAAGCAAAGAUCAUUGCCUUCUGAGCAGAAGAGACUCUAAAUAAAUAUAGAAGAAUAGAAAUCUGAAGUGGAAAGUUGUAGCCAGAGCAUGCAUAUGAUACUGGCAGAUCUUUUCUAAAGAGAAAUUCAUUUUCCAUAAAUGCUUUACAAUGGAUCCUGACGAUAAGACAUCUUGCCAAAUGAUUUGCUGCUCAUCAUAAAGAUUUCCCAGUAAAUAAAAUUUCCAGGCUCAUCUCCUGUUAUUGCAUGAAUGUUUUGGAACUACAUCUCAGGAAAUAAGUGAGGAUUGCAAAUUAUGACUUUCAGGUUGGAAAUCCAGCAAUGAACUUUGUUGACUUGGUCUGGCCAUACUGGCCAUGGCUUAGCAUUUGACAGAACUUUAGGGUCUACAGUUUCUCCGCAAAGGAAGUUCUGAGCAAUGGAAGCAAGGCUGGGCUGAGCAAAAAACUUCCUAAAGUGAUUUUGGUUUCAGAAAUCUGAUUUAUUCUCUCAGAAUCACACAUAACAUUCUCAGCUCCGAGAGAGUGUGCGCAUCACUUUAGAAAGAACUCUUGACUGGAAAGCAGUAGAUGUAGGUUCAAGUUUAGUUCCCCAGUUUGGUAGGUGAGGGGAACCCCUCCUCUGUCAUGUGAGAGAGAAACACCUUGUCCAUCCGCACCUACAGAGUUGCAUGGAUCUACGCUGGACAUAGCUCAAAAACAAUGCAUGAGAAAGAAUAGAAAGAGCAUUGGACAUGGAGCCUCUGUAGGGCUGAAUUCCUGCUCACCACUUACUCCUGAUACUGGGAAGAUUUUCAACGUCUCCAAGACUGGGGUUUUUCAUUUGCAAAAGGCAGAUUAUAAUCUCUUUUGGGAUGGUUAUGAGCAUGUUAAAUAAGAUAAUUUUUAAAUGCUCCCAGCAGAGUGAAUUGAAAAUGGAAGAUGCUGAACACCAACAUAUUAAUUAGUUAAUAUUUAUUUAUUAAGCACUUAAUAUAUCCCAGGCACUGCGCUUAGUGCUUCACAUACAUUCUGUCAUUUAAUCUUCAUGACAACCUUAGGAGAGGGCUGCAGGAACUUGGAGUACUACAUGUAAUAACAUACUGGUCAUCACUCUUGGCAAAUAUUGAAAGCUUCACUUGGUCCCUGACACCUAAAGGAUAAAGAAGAGCUUGAUGAUCUGAUGUGAGGUCUUUUGCCCAUCUGCAACACCUCUUUCUAAAUGAUGUUGGGUAAGAAUCUGGUUUUAUUUUCCUCCAUAAAGAAAGCCACCCAGGGAUGUGUUGGAGCAGCUUGUGCCAUGUGGCAAGAGCCAAUUGUUAAAUAUUGAGGAAUUUUGUAAGCUGGUUGCUAAAUUGUUGGCAGUUUGAAAUAGGCCGUGCUGGGAGUUUUUAUACCAUGGGAAUUAUCAAUAAAUCAAGUAUUUUUUCCUUUAG
ensembl:lncRNA novel transcript